CUCCCUUCUAGUAUGGGAUAACACCGGGAAACUGGUGCUAAUACCGUAUAGUCCCUUCGGGGUAAAGAUUUAUCGCUAGAAGAUGAGCCCGCGUAAGAUUAGCUAGUUGGUGAGGUAAUGGCUCACCAAGGCUACGAUCUUUAGCUGGUCUUAGAGGACGAUCAGCCACACUGGAACUGAGACACGGUCCAGACUCCUACGGGAGGCAGCAGUGGGGAAUCUUGGACAAUGGGGGAAACCCUGAUCCAGCCAUGCCGCGUGAGUGAUGAAGGCCUUCGGGUUGUAAAGCUCUUUUGUAUGGGAAGAUAAUGACUGUACCAUAAGAAUAAGCCCCGGCUAACUUCGUGCCAGCAGCCGCGGUAAUACGAAGGGGGCUAGCGUUGUCCGGAAUUACUGGGCGUAAAGGGUGCGUAGGUGGUUAUGUAAGUCAGAAGUGAAAGCCCUGGGCUCAACCCGGGAAUUGCUUUUGAAACUAUAUAGCUAGAGUUCGAGAGAGGUAAGUGGAAUAUCCAGUGUAGAGGUAAAAUUCGUAGAUAUUGGAUGGAACACCAGUGGCGAAGGCGGCUUACUGGCUCGAUACUGACACUGAGGCACGAAAGCGUGGGGAGCAAACAGGAUUAGAUACCCUGGUAGUCCACGCUGUAAACGAUGAAUGCUAGUUGUUGGAAAGUCUAACUUUUCAGUGACGCCGUUAACACAUUAAGCAUUCCGCCUGGGGAGUACAUUCGCAAGGAUGAAACUCAAAGAAAUUGACGGGGGCCCGCACAAGCGGUGGAGUAUGUGGUUUAAUUCGACGCAACGCGAAGAACCUUACCAGGCCUUGACAUGGCUAGUAUGGGGCUAAGAGAUUAGCUCCUUCAGUUCGGCUGGCUAGCACACAGGUGCUGCAUGGCUGUCGUCAGCUCGUGUCGUGAGAUGUUGGGUUAAGUCCCGCAACGAGCGCAACCCUUAUCGAUAGUUGCUACCAGGUUAUGCUGGGCACUCUAUUGAAACUGCCGGUGACAAGCCGGAGGAAGGCGGGGAUGACGUCAAGUCCUCAUGGCCCUUACGGCCUGGGCUACACACGUACUACAAUGGUGGUGACAGUGGGAAGCCAAAGCGCAAGCUGGAGCGAACCCCCAAAAGCCACCUCAGUUCA
rnacentral:rRNA from 1 species